rnacentral:rRNA from 1 species
GAUGAACGCUGGCGGCGUGCCUAAUACAUGCAAGUCGAGCGAACGGACGAGAAGCUUGCUUCUCUGAUGUUAGCGGCGGACGGGUGAGUAACACGUGGAUAACCUACCUAUAAGACUGGGAUAACUUCGGGAAACCGGAGCUAAUACCGGAUGAUAUUUUGAACCGCAUGGUUCAAAAGUGAAAGACGGUCUUGCUGUCACUUAUAGAUGGAUCCGCGCUGCAUUAGCUAGUUGGUAAGGUAACGGCUUACCAAGGCAACGAUGCAUAGCCGACCUGAGAGGGUGGUCGGCCACACUGGAACUGAGACAGGGUCCAGACUCCUGCGGGAGGCAGCAGUAGGGAAUCUUCCGCAAUGGGGGAGAGCCUGACGGAGCAACGCCGCGUGAGUGAUGAAGGUCUUCGGAUCGUAAAACUCUGUUAUUAGGUAAGAACAGAUGUGUAAGUAACUGUGCACAUCUUGACGGUACCUAAUCAAAAAGCCACGGCUAACUACGUG